GCAGUCGACGGUAACAGGUCUUCGGACGCUGACGAGUGGCGAACGGGUGAGUAAUACAUCGGAACGUGCCCAGUCGUGGGGGAUAACUACUCGAAAGAGUAGCUAAUACCGCAUACGAUCUGAGGAUGAAAGCGGGGGACCUUCGGGCCUCGCGCGAUUGGAGCGGCCGAUGGCAGAUUAGGUAGUUGGUGGGAUAAAAGCUUACCAAGCCGACGAUCUGUAGCUGGUCUGAGAGGACGACCAGCCACACUGGGACUGAGACACGGCCCAGACUCCUACGGGAGGCAGCAGUGGGGAAUUUUGGACAAUGGGCGAAAGCCUGAUCCAGCAAUGCCGCGUGCAGGAUGAAGGCCUUCGGGUUGUAAACUGCUUUUGUACGGAACGAAAAAGCUCCUUCUAAUACAGGGGGCCCAUGACGGUACCGUAAGAAUAAGCACCGGCUAACUACGUGCCAGCAGCCGCGGUAAUACGUAGGGUG
rnacentral:rRNA from 2 species